rnacentral:miRNA from 1 species
CUUUAUUGUUGAUGUCAAAA